UAGGGAAUCUUCGGCAAUGGACGAAAGUCUGACCGAGCAACGCCGCGUGAGUGAAGAAGGUUUUCGGAUCGUAAAACUCUGUUGUUAGAGAAGAACAAUGACGUUAGUAACUGAACGUCCCCUGACGGUAUCUAACCAGAAAGCCACGGCUAACUACGUGCCAGCAGCCGCGGUAAUACGUAGGUGGCAAGCGUUGUCCGGAUUUAUUGGGCGUAAAGCGAGCGCAGGCGGUUUCUUAAGUCUGAUGUGAAAGCCCCCGGCUCAACCGGGGAGGGUCAUUGGAAACUGGGAGACUUGAGUGCAGAAGAGGAGAGUGGAAUUCCAUGUGUAGCGGUGAAAUGCGUAGAUAUAUGGAGGAACACCGGUGGCGAAGGCGGCUCUCUGGUCUGUAACUGACGAUGAGGCUCGAAAGCGUGGGGAGCAAACAGG
rnacentral:rRNA from 1 species